rnacentral:lncRNA from 1 species
GUCCCACCAGCACCAACCCACAAGACCCGCCACAGAAUCUUAAGACCUAGGUGAGUGGAACAUAAGUUCUAGAAGGAGGCAGGUUCGAACACCAGAUAUCUGGGCACCUUCCCUGCAAGAGGAGAGCCUACCUGCAGAGAGUACUCUGAACACUAAAACUCAGGAGAGAGCUAGUCUCAAAGAUCUGCUGAUAGAGGCUAACAUAAACACCUGAGGAACAAGAUCUAACCAGAGACAACUACAACAACUAACUCCAGAGAUUACCAGAUGGCAAAAGGCAAAUGUAAGAAUCUUACUAACAGAAACCAAGACCACUCCCAUAAUCAGAAGGCAGCAUU